rnacentral:rRNA from 1 species
GUAGUGGGGAUGUGUGGUAACAGAUGGAAAUGUCGGGAGGGGAGGCCGGGAGGGGAGGCGGGAUAGAAGUACCGCUACCAACUAGGCGUCGUACACGACGACUAGACGGCUCAAACUGCCGCCGCCAUCGGGCUCACUACUCUAGGCGCAGAACCCGCGCGCAUCUAGAUCGUACCCGAGUUGGGGGCUACAACCGGAACAGCCUCCCCUCGCUGACACGCCACCGGCCAGAUCCUAUUACCGAGCGCCCUCCGGCAUCACAUGGGAUCGGCGGUGGCCUAAGGCCACACCGAGGUCGGGGAAGACAACCGAAGGAGCUGUGGUACCGGAGUACAACGACGAAGCUGGUGUACAGUCCAAGUAAACGGACGCGACCAUCGGUAUUGUCGGCAAGCAUCCGUCCCACCCUUCGGAUUCCGAACACGCACCUGAGGGAGAAGCUAACUAACGAAUUCUGUGUACAUAUGCUCACUCUACACACACGCACGUCGUCGGGCACAUAACACAAACGCCCAAAGGAGAGACUUAAAAUUGUGACUCAAAAGAGACAUAGAAAUGUGACGUCCCAUGGGUCAUGUCUAUCUCCCGUGUACAAGUAGUUGGCCGACGUAACACGAUACACCCGAAGAUUAAAACAAAUUAAAAGCCGGGUCUAGAUUAAGUUAAAUCUAAAAAGCUUGUUAAACUACAUAGAGACAAGAGAUUUAGUUAUAUUAAUUCACAUGAUAUACGUAAGUCAAAUCAAAAGAUAGUUUUAUAUUAAGUCAUACUUAGUCACAUUAGUCCACCACUUAUUAAAGUAGUUUAUCCUCUGUACUAAAGACAAUGACACAAUUAUACUGCUGUACAAGACAAAUCUCAAAUGAGGUAUGUGAAGACAGAUAUAACAUCUGACGUCGAGCCACUUAUACAUAUUGGUUUUAAUUCAAAUUAGACUUAGAUUCUUCUUUUAAUGUAAUCAUGUCACACCGUCAGGAUGUCAAUAUUAUGUCUCCAAAUUUGGACAAGUAAACACAUGAUUCGUGUACAUCAUGACGAUGACAAUCAAUACACGCAUCAUCAUGAUCUUGGUUACGGUACAAUCAAGUGACAGGGAGUUAGACCUCCGUGUGUGGUUCGAUCGUUAACGGUUGUGUAACUAUGUGUAAAGAAGUUGAACACAUUAGGGACGGAGGAUCGGUCCAGCGGGAGACGUUAUCCGGCUGUUCCCAACUACAGAUGACAGACUAGGAUUUAGAAAAGCGAUUACGAAAGGGUAAAAAAUACUAGUUAAUUGUGACAUUGAGUGGGACUAAUAC